GUUUCUGUAGUGUAGUGGUUAUCACGCUAGCUUCACACGCAUAAGGUCCCUGGUUCGAAAACAGGCGGAAACA
rfam:Salmo salar isolate Sally breed double haploid chromosome ssa18, whole genome shotgun sequence.